AGAGUUUGAUCCUGGCUCAGGAUGAACGCUAGCGGGAGGCUUAACACAUGCAAGUCGAGGGGCAGCAUUUCUAGCUUGCUAGAAGAUGGCGACCGGCGGACGGGUGCGUAACGCGUAUGUAACUUACCUAUAUCUGGAAGAUAACUCAAAGAAAUUUGCGCUAAUACUCCAUAGUAUGAUUCUUUCGCAUGUUAGAUUAUUAAAGCUCCGGCGGAUAUAGAUAGGCAUGCGUCCUAUUAGUUAGUUGGUAAGGUAACGGCUUACCAAGACUACGAUAGGUAGGGGGCCUGAGAGGGUGAACCCCCACACUGGUACUGAGACACGGACCAGACUCCUACGGGAGGCAGCAGUGAGGAAUAUUGGUCAAUGGAGGCAACUCUGAACCAGCCAUCCCGCGUGAAGGAUUGAAGGCGCUCGACGUCGUAAACUUCUUUUAUAUAGGAAUAAACCUUGGUACGUGUACCAAGCUGAAGGUACUAUAUGAAUAAGCAUCGGCUAACUCCGUGCCAGCAGCCGCGGUAAUACGGAGGAUGCAAGCGUUAUCCGGAUUUAUUGGGUUUAAAGGGUCCGUAGGUGGACUAAUAAGUCAGUGGUGAAAUCCUACAGCUUAACUGUAGAACUGCCAUUGAUACUGUUAGUCUUGAGUGAAGUUGAAGUAGCUGGAAUGUGUAGUGUAGCGGUGAAAUGCAUAGAUAUUACACAGAACACCAAUUGCGAAGGCAGGUUACUAAACUUCUACUGACACUGAUGGACGAAAGCGUGGGGAGCGAACAGGAUUAGAUACCCUGGUAGUCCACGCCGUAAACGAUGAUCACUCGCUGUCGGGGUUUUUACUUCGGUGGCUAAGCGAAAGUUAUAAGUGAUCCACCUGGGGAGUACGUUCGCAAGGAUGAAACUCAAAGGAAUUGACGGGGGCCCGCACAAGCGGUGGAGCAUGUGGUUUAAUUCGAUGAUACGCGAGGAACCUUACCAAGGCUUAAAUGUAGAGUGCUUUUCAUGGAAACAUGAUUUUCUUCGGACGCUCUACAAGGUGCUGCAUGGCUGUCGUCAGCUCGUGCUGUGAGGUGUCGGGUUAAGUCCCAUAACGAGCGCAACCCCUAUCUUUAGUUGCUAGCAGGUAAUGCUGAGGACUCUAGAGAGACUGCCGGUGCAAACCGUGAGGAAGGUGGGGAUGACGUCAAGUCAGCACGGCCCUUACGUCCAGGGCUACACACGUGCUACAAUGGUAGGCACAAAGGGCAGCUACAUGGUGACAUGAUGCUAAUCUCAAAAGCCUAUCUCAGUUCGGAUCGAAGUCUGAAACUCGACUUCGUGAAGCUGGAAUCGCUAGUAAUCGUAUAUCAGCCAUGAUACGGUGAAUACGUUCCCGGGCCUUGUACACACCGCCCGUCAAGCCAUGGAAUCUGGGGGUACCUGAAGUCAGUGAGCGCAAGCAGCCGCCUAGGGUAAAACUGGUAACUAGGGCUAAGUCGAAACAAGGUAACC
rnacentral:rRNA from 1 species